rnacentral:lncRNA from 1 species
CUUUCGAUACAUCGAGAAGGGGGGCGGAUUAUGGCCUCCCGUGCGCCUCGUGCAUGCGGUUGGCCUAAAAAUUGAGUCCCCGGCGACUAUCGCCACGGCAAUCGGUGGUUGUAAGACUCUCUGAAACUGCCGUGCGCGCUCGUCUGCCAAGAGGGAACCCUCGAGACCCCGAUGCUGCCGUAAAGGGCAUGCUCCAACUGCGAC